rnacentral:rRNA from 1 species
CCUACGGGCGGCAGCAGUGGGGAAUAUUGGGCAAUGGAGGCAACUCUGACCCAGCAAUGCCGCGUGAAUGAAGAAGGUCUUCGGAUUGUAAAGUUCUUUAGGCAGGGAGGAAUAAAAUGACGGUACCUGAAGAAUAAGCUCCGGCUAACUACGUGCCAGCAGCCGCGGUAAUACGUAGGGAGCAAGCGUUGUUCGGAAUGACUGGGCGUAAAGGGUGCGUAGGCGGUUAUACAAAGUAUAAGUGCAAAACCCAGGGCUUAACUCGGGUGCUGCUUCUAAAACUGUAAGACUUGAGUGCAGUAGAGGUUAGUGGAAUUCCUAGUGUAGCGGUGGAAUGCGUAGAGAUUAGGAGGAACACCAGAGGCGAAGGCGGCUAACCGGACUACAACUGACGCUGAGGCACGAAAGUGUGGGGAGCAAACAGGAUUAGAUACCCGGGUAGUC